UACGUAGGUGGCAAGCGUUGUCCGGAAUUACUGGGUGUAAAGGGUGCGCAGGCGGGAUUGCAAGUUGGAUGUAAAAUACCGGGGCUUAACCCCGGAGCUGCAUCCAAAACUGUAGUUCUUGAGUGGAGUAGAGGUAAGCGGAAUUCCGAGUGUAGCGGUGAAAUGCGUAGAUAUUCGGAGGAACACCAGUGGCGAAGGCGGCUUACUGGGCUCUAGCUGACGCUGAGGCACGAAAGCAUGGGUAGCAAACAGGAUUAGAUACCCUGGUAGUCCAUGCUGUAAACGAUGAAUGCUAGGUGUGGGGGGACUGACCCCUUCCGUGCCGGAGUAAACACAAUAAGCAUUCCACCUGGGGAGUACGACCGCAAGGUUGAA
rnacentral:rRNA from 1 species